AUUUGAGUAGCUUAUAAGAGGAAAGUGUAGUCUGAAGGCCGCUAAGAAGGUUUGGUUACCCUCAAAUA
rnacentral:tRNA from 1 species